rnacentral:rRNA from 1 species
GACGAACGCUGGCGGCGUGCCUAAUACAUGCAAGUAGAACGCUGAAGGAGGAGCUUGCUUCUCUGGAUGAGUUGCGAACGGGUGAGUAACGCGUAGGUAACCUGCCUGGUAGCGGGGGAUAACUAUUGGAAACGAUAGCUAAUACCGCAUAAUAGUAGAUGUUGCAUGACAUUUGCUUAAAAGGUGCAAUUGCAUCACUACCAGAUGGACCUGCGUUGUAUUAGCUAGUUGGUGAGGUAACGGCUCUCCAAGGCAACGAUACAUAGCCGACCUGAGAGGGUGAUCGGCCACACUGGGACUGAGACACGGCCCAGACUCCUACGGGAGGCAGCAGUAUGGAAUCUUCGGCAAUGGACGGAAGUCUGACCGAGCAACGCCGCGUGAGUGAAGAAGGUUUUCGGAUCGUAAAGCUCUGUUGUAAGAGAAGAACGAGUGUGAGAGUGGAAAGUUCACACUGUGACGGUAUCUUACCAGAAUGGGACGGCUAACUACGUG